AGGACGAACGCUGGCAGCGCGCCUAACACAUGCAAGUCGAGCGAUAACCAGGGCUUGCCCUGGGGACAGCGGCGAACGGGUGCGUAACACGUGAGCAACCUGCCCCAAAGACCGGGACAACCCGAGGAAACUCGGACUAAUACCGGAUGCCCUCACCGGGCCGCAUGGUCUGGUGAGGAAAUGGAUUCCGCUUUGGGAUGGGCUCGCGGUCUAUCAGCUUGUUGGUGGGGUAACGGCCUACCAAGGCGACGACGGAUAGCUGGUCUGAGAGGACGAUCAGCCACACUGGGACUGAGACACGGCCCAGACUCCUACGGGAGGCAGCAGUGGGGAAUCUUGCGCAAUGGGGGAAACCCUGACGCAGCGACGCCGCGUGCGGGAUGAAGGCCUUCGGGUGUAAACCGCUUUCAGCAGGGACGAAAUUGACGGUACCUGCAGAAGAAGGCCCGGCCAACUACGUGCCAGCAGCCGC
rnacentral:rRNA from 1 species